rnacentral:piRNA from 1 species
UAACCUAUCAGAUCACAGUGACUCUCAACUC